UCAUGUUACAGCACAUUCCCGAUAGGAUUCAUCUGUGUGAAGAUGCCUUGUAACCAAAUUAUUGAAUGGGGGAAUUAUAUCGUG
rnacentral:sRNA from 2 species